UCCCUGGUGGUCCAGAGGUUAGGAACCUGCCUUCCAAUGCAGGGGACACAGAUUCAAUUCCUGGUCAGGGAA
rnacentral:tRNA from 1 species